rnacentral:tRNA from 4 species
GGACGUGGCUCAGCUGGUAGAGCAUCACCUUGCCAAGGUGAGGGUCGCGGGUUCGAAUCCCGUCGUCCG